AAGAUUUUAAUGAUCGAACAGAUCAAAAUAUUAAACUUCUGCAUUUAAAUUUUAUCUUAAUCCAACAUCGAGGUCGCAAACUCUUCUUUUUAUUUGAACUAAAAAAAAAAAUAACG
rnacentral:rRNA from 1 species